GCGUUUAUAGCUCAGUUGGUUAGAGCACCACCUUGACAUGGUGGGGGUCGUUGGUUCGAGUCCAAUUAAACCUG
rnacentral:tRNA from 1 species